GGGCUGGUAGCUCAGUUAGUUAGAGCGCACCGUUCGCAACGGUGAGGCGGUGAGUGCAAUCCUCACCCAGUCCA
rnacentral:tRNA from 1 species